ACCUAGCGGCGGACGGGUGAGUAAUGCUUAGGAAUCUGCCUAUUAGUGGGGGACAACAUUCCGAAAGGAAUGCUAAUACCGCAUACGCCCUACGGGGGAAAGCAGGGGAUCUUCGGACCUUGCGCUAUCGGAUGAGCCUAUGUCGGAUUAGCUAGUUGGUGAGGUAACGGCUCACCAAGGCUGCGAUCCGUAGCUGGUCUGAGAGGAUGAUCAGCCACAUCGGGACUGAGACACGGCCCGAACUCCUACGGGAGGCAGCAGUGGGGAAUAUUGGACAAUGGGCGAAAGCCUGAUCCAGCCAUGCCGCGUGUGUGAAGAAGGCCUUCGGGUUGUAAAGCACUUUCAGUGAGGAAGAAAGCCUUGAGGUUAAUACCCUCGAGGGAGGACAUCACUCACAGAAGAAGCACCGGCUAACUCCGUGCCAGCAGCCGCGGUAAUACGGAGGGUGCGAGCGUUAAUCGGAAUUACUGGGCGUAAAGCGCGCGUAGGCGGCUUGAUAAGCCGGUUGUGAAAGCCCCGGGCUCAACCUGGGAACGGCAUCCGGAACUGUCAGGCUAGAGUGCAGGAGAGGAAGGUAGAAUUCCCGGUGUAGCGGUGAAAUGCGUAGAGAUCGGGAGGAAUACCAGUGGCGAAGGCGGCCUUCUGGACUGACACUGACGCUGAGGUGCGAAAGCGUGGGUAGCAAACAGGAUUAGAUACCCUGGUAGUCCACGCCGUAAACGAUGUCGACUAGCCGUUGGGCUCCUUGAGAGCUUUGUGGCGCAGUUAACGCGAUAAGUCGACCGCCUGGGGAGUACGGCCGCAAGGUUAAAACUCAAAUGAAUUGACGGGGGCCCGCACAAGCGGUGGAGCAUGUGGUUUAAUUCGAUGAUACGCGAGGAACCUUACCAGGGCUUAAAUGUAAGUUGCAUUAGUUAGAGAUAGCUAUUUCUUCGGACCACUUACAAGGUGCUGCAUGGUUGUCGUCAGCUCGUGCCGUGAGGUGUCAGGUUAAGUCCUAUAACGAGCGCAACCCCUGUUGUUAGUUGCCAGCGAGUCAUGUCGGGAACUCUAACAAGACUGCCAGUGCAAACUGUGAGGAAGGUGGGGAUGACGUCAAAUCAUCACGGCCCUUACGUCCUGGGCUACACACGUGCUACAAUGGAACGCACAGAGGGCAGCAAACCCGCGAGGGGGAGCGAAUCCCACAAAACGUUUCGUAGUCCGGAUCGGAGUCUGCAACUCGACUCCGUGAAGUCGGAAUCGCUAGUAAUCGUGAAUCAGAAUGUCACGGUGAAUACGUUCCCGGGCCUUGUACACACCGCCCGUCACACCAUGGGAGUGGACUGCACCAGAAGUGGUUAGCCUAACUUCGGAGGGCGAUCACCACGGUGUGGUUCAUGACUGGGGUGAAGUCGUAACAAGGUAGCCGUAGGGGAACCUGCGGCUGGAUCACCUCCUU
rnacentral:rRNA from 1 species